rnacentral:rRNA from 1 species
GACGAACGCUGGCGGCGUGCUUAACACAUGCAAGUCGAACGGUGAAGCGCCUUCCUUUUUGGUGGGUGUGGAUGAGUGGCGAACGGGUGAGUAACACGUGAGUAACCUGCCCCCUUCUUCUGGAUAACCGCAUGAAAGUGUGGCUAAUACGGGAUAUUCUGGGUCUGUCGCAUGAUGGGUCUGGGAAAGAUAUUGUUUCGGUGGGGGAUGGGCUCGCGGCCUAUCAGCUUGUUGGUGGGGUGAUGGCCUACCAAGGAGGUGACGGGUAGCCGGCCUGAGAGGGUGGACGGUCACACUGGGACUGAGACACGGCCCAGACUCCUACGGGAGGCAGCAGUGGGGAAUAUUGCACAAUGGGCGCAAGCCUGAUGCAGCGACGCCGCGUGAGGGAUGGAGGCCUUCGGGUUGUGAACCUCUUUCGCCAGUGAAGCAGGCCUGCCUCGUUUGUGGGUGGGUUGACGGUAGCUGGAUAAGAAGCGCCGGCUAACUACGUG